rnacentral:lncRNA from 1 species
AGUGUAAAUAUUAUUAAAGUACAUAGUUUCUCAAAUUAUCUUUUUCCCCAAAAUUUAUCCCGGACCAGACUUUUUGCAAUAAAUUUCCAACAUUUUUAUUUCUAAAUAUGUUUGUUUAAAACUAAUACAAAAACAUAUGCAUAAACAAGUAUUUGCAUCUGCUUGCACUUUAGCAUGCAUAUAGACUUGCUUUCUUGUGUGUAUGUGUGUGUAUUUAUUUAUUUAUUUUAUUUUAUUUUAUUUUAUUUUUUUGAGAUUUAUAGAGACUGAUCCCCACCUAUUCUACCUUGCAUCCGUCCUGCAACCAUCGGAAGGCUUACUUGAAUCAUAUUCAACUCCUCCGACCCUUUGCCAAAGUAGCAAGGGGUAAUAUUAUUUAAUCAAGUAUAAGGUGGUUUAUACAGUUUAAAACCAGCUGAAAAUAUUUGUUUCUGUACAUAAAACGUCGCUUUCCUUUGUUGAGGCAUGG